AAAAAAAAAGGAAGAAAUACACUGAAACUUUUACCUCCUAAUUCAUCGGCACAAUAUAUAAAUGUAGGUCAGUGGCUCACCUCUUUCUUCUCUUUUUCCCACUUUGAGUUUCUGCAAUUGCCACCGUAUGUAACUUUGAUUAAGUAUUCUGCAUUUCAUUAGGAGGCCACAGGGUUUAGGGGAAGGAGCAGUGAAGUUCCACAGCAUAAACAAGCAUUAACAGCAGAAGGCUCUUUUACAAGGUUGGCUCUGUCAGCACAGACUUCAAAGACACAAAUCCCUUCCAAUUUAAAGAAGAGAUAUGCUGCAACAUUAGACCAGGUUCUCCUGGCGGUGUUCAUGUACUACAUCUACUCACCUUUUAAGUUAAUGAAGAUUUAACAUGAAAUGAAAAUCACUGGCACAAAACAAAAGCAACAGAAAUUUGUGACAAGAAAUCACGAAGAGGAGAGGAGGCACGGGCUCUGCUAAGUCAAGCCUGCGCAGGUGUGCAAAACACAGGGUGACUAUAUGCUUUGUGAUAAUGACUUUAUGCUUAGAAUCAAAGCAGCAAAACUUCAAUAUUUCAUGUUACCACAGUGGCUUGGCAGGCUAAAAAUUUAAUAAGUGCUAUCUAAACUAAUGGCAGUGCUUCAGACUAGGGGGAAAAAAAAAGAUACACUAGAUUAAGCAUUCUAAUGGCUGCUAAUGAAACUUAAAAGAAUAUAGAUCAUCUUCUCUUGAAUUAAAUGACUCACUCUAAAUAAGAAUAGUUAAGACACAUAAUCACGGCCCACAGCUGAGUCUGCGGAAGAUUCUGCUGCAGAGCUGAUGAUUAUGUGAGGCUCUCAGGAAAGCAGAACCACUGAGUAAGGGACUUGUGUGAGGCAGUAGCUGGAAGGGGUCUGUUAGCACAGCCAGCGCGGCCUGCCCAACUCCUCUCCAGUGUGAGAGUCGAUGGUUAUAAAUCACCUAGGAUUAGGGCCCUGGAAGAGGCAGAGGUAAAAAGAACAAGAUAAAUUAUUUGGAUUCUAAAGGCAAAAUUUAAGUGUCAUUUGCUCCAUAAAAUCUUUCAUGGUCAUCCCAGUCAACCCACACAGAUCUCAUUCAAAUAACUAGGCAUUUUCUCUGCCAUUCAUUUGUAACAUUUAAGAAGCUGGGUUUUAGUGCUGGCUAUCAUACCAGUUUGACUGCCUUAUAUAUUUAACUAGAUCAAUAAUUCUUCCUGGAAGAAUAUUCCUCUCUCCCCCUCCCUCUCUAAUUUUUUCCCCCUCCCUCCCUCCUUUGUAGCCAUCCACAGAAUUUACCACAAUACCUUCCUUUUAAUCAUUGUUCAGUGAUUAGAAGGUAAUAUUUAGAGUCUUAAGAGGUUGGCAAGCAUGGUCUGGGGAGGUGUGAUGUUAAGUAAACAGUUUUUCUUCAAUGUUUCUUCAUUCUCUUAAAGUGGACAU